GCCAAUGGGAGGAAGUGCCAGGGAACCAGUAGGCGGGAGAAGAAAGACUACAGAACUUCCUUCCUGCCCCCUCCGACUUCUGCCUCCCUCACUGGCAGCAACCCAACCCCUCCAUUGCUGACCUCUGCCCACCUCUACCAGUGGUCCUUCCUCUGCUGCAGCAGUGACACUAUUUUCUUCCUUUGUUCUUCCAACCCCAGUUAUAGGGUUGGUGCCUCAGGAAAUAACUGCUUUGGGAGAGAAGGACCAGGGGAAGAAGAGAGUGGCCUGCCUGCCUUCUGCUGUUUUCUCAAAUGGCAAGGUGCCAUACACAGGAGUAGCAUGUCCUGAAUUCCAUCAUUAACUAUGGAGUCUCACCCUGUUGCCCAGGAUGGAGUGCAAUGGCACAAUCUCAGCUCACUGCAACCUCCACCUCCUAGGUUGAAGCGAUUCUCCUGCCUGAGCCUCCAAAGUAGCUGGGAUUACAGGUGUGUCCCACCACAUUCGGCUAAUUUUUUGUAUUGUUAGUAGAGAAGGAGUUGUACCAUGUUGGCCAGGCUCGUCUCAAACUCCUGACCUGCCCACGUUGGCCUCCAAAAGUGCUGGUAUUACAGGCAUGGGCCACCAUGCCCAGCCAAGAAUUUCUUAUUUAUAAAUAUACUUUCCACUGAAAAAUCAAUGUGCACUAAUUUUUUUUUCAGAUACUAUGGUUCACCAUAACUUUUAGCGUUUUCUGUGCCAUUUCUUAGACCUAAGCUUCCUAUUAUUGUCUACUAAAUAAAUUGUGCCUUCUGUUUACUCUU